CUUUCUGUGCGCGCUCACCGGCCUCCCCGCCUCAUCCUUCUCGGCUCGCUCAGACCGGCUGCUACACUCCCGACUAAUGCCGCAUGCCGCUCCUCUCCUGCCCUGUCGCCGAAGGAGACGACGAGCCGGGCGCUGGUGGAAGCGGGCUAAGCGGCGGCGGGCAAUACAGCGUGCACAUACGCCAUUUCUCGCGCCUCCUCCUUAAAGCGGCAGUCGUCGAUGUUGGAGCCCCCUCCUCGCCGGUCGCUGACAUCAACCACUGACGACCACCACCACAGCCAUGCGCGGGCAAGAGAGAGGAAGGGGACAUCCGAAGCCGGCCACAUCUAGCGCAUAUCCGCCGCUCAGGCUAGCACCUCCAAUCUCUCCUCCGCCACUCUAGGGAAAGAGGAGGGGAAGAGGGGACAAGAAGAGAAUAAGAUAGAGAAGAGCGAGGAUGCCACUCUAGGCAUAGGGAAAGAGGAGGGGGAAGAGGGGACAAGAAGAGAAUGAGAUAGAGAAGAGCAAGGAUGAGGUGGAGAAAGUGGGUCCCACUAUUUUUAGUAUUAUUGUUUGAGUAAUAUUUGGGUCUACAUAUUUUGUUUUAAUUUUUAAUUGUUAAAUUUUGUUUCAUGUGACACGUCAAACUGACCGGAGUCAAAUUAGCCACGUAAAAAAGGCGGUGCUGAUAGCCUCCAUCAGCAGAUCCAGAAGGCGGCCGUCGUUCCCGAGGUGAAGUCAAUCAUUGCUGCGGAACAGUUAUGUCAUCAACAUUGGAGAUAUUUGGCUUGACUUGGUGAAAUCAAUACUAACUUGCUUCGUUGGAUUAAUGUACCAGAAGAGUGGAGGUCAGCUGAGCAAGCGCAUGCUGGGCAUUAUCACCGGCCCCUCAUUAUUGAUCAGCGCAAUUAAACAUGCUGGCCAUUUAGCAAAGGUUUGCAGUUGAAUUUUAGUCUACUCGGCCGGAUCCACACUAAACUUAUUAGCUGCUACUCCCUCCGUUACAAUAUAAGACACAACCACCCUUAACCUAAAUACCAAGAAACAAUUAUUAUCAUCUUCUAGUUUGGAUCACCCUAAUAAAUAUAAUACAUGCAUUCAAUAGAACUAGAGAUCUUAAGGGUGGAGGAUUUAAAAAAGUAAUAAUUUAAUGGAGAAAAGGUCCUAGUUAAUUGUAUGCAUGUAUGCAUAUCUUAUAUUAUGGAACAUUAAAAAAAGUAGUUGUACCUUAGAGCAAGGCUAACAGUACAGCUCGCUGUUGGCUGCAAAAUAACCACAUCAUCCUACUACAGCCAAUUACAAAAGCUAAUCAUGACAAUAAUGGACUGUAUAUACAUCUCUACACACUUCCCAUAGCUAGCUUUGAUUUUUCUAAUCUUCAAUUGAAUGCUGUAAUUGAAGCAACGGAACAUUGGGAGUAGUGUACAGCCGGGCUGCAAAUUAGUCGCCAACCUGCUAUCUUUCUCUUCCCUUUAUCCCUCCAGCUCCCUCUGGAAUCUACGUGGAGUCCGUAUCGCUGGCUCAUGAGGAUUAUUGUACUUGCUCUUAUAUUAUAGAACGGAUGGAGUAUUUCAGUGGUGGGAACCGGUAGAGUCAUGAGCAUAUGUUUAUUGCAAGAUGCUUGUCCCAUGUUUAUAGUGUACUCCCUCCAUUCCAAAUUGAU